CCACCCCGCCCCCGCGCGCCAUUCCCCGCGCCCCGCGUCCCCUCGCGUCCCGGCCAUGGCAGGCCUGGUGCUGCGCCCAGCCAAGGGCUACCGGGUGGUGCUGCUCGGCAGCGUGGCCGUGGGCAAGACGGCGCUGGCCACGCAGUUCGCGUGCGGCCGCUUCCCCGAGCACUGCGAGUCGUCGGUGGAAGAGCUGUUCAGCAAAGUGAUCGAGGUGAACGCGGCGCCCGCGCUGCUGGAGAUCGUGGACACGGUGGGCGCCGAGCACCUGGUCACUCUCAAGGACCUGUACAUCCGGAACAGCGACGGCUUCGUGGUGCUCUACAGCGUGUGCAACGAGGCCUCGUUCGAAGCGGUGCGGCCGCUGCGUGAGCGCAUGGGCCGGCUGCGGGGGUCCCGGGCCGUCCCGCUGGUGCUGGUGGGCACCAAGGCCGACCUGGACGCCGAGCGCCAGGUGCUGACGGCGCAGGGCCGCGCGCUGGCCCGCGAGUGGCGCUGCCCGUUCCUGGAGGUCACGGCCAAGAGCAAGAUGAUGGUGGACCGCGUGUUCACGCAGGUGGUGCGCGAGAUGGAGGCCCUGGCCCCGCCGCAGCAGGAGGCUCCGCGCAUCCCCGCCAACGCCCAGGAUACGUGGCCGUCCGAGAGAUUCAUUGGCUAGUGCGCAACGGCCGAAUCUUACGCGAUCGCCGCCCUGGGUGACU